rnacentral:rRNA from 1 species
ACGAACGCUGGCGGCAUGCCUAACACAUGCAAGUCGAACGAGACCUUCGGGUCUAGUGGCGCACGGGUGCGUAACGCGUGGGAACCUGCCCUUAGGUUCGGAAUAACUCCCCGGAAGGGGUGCUAAUACCGGAUAAUGUCUUCGGACCAAAGAUUUAUCGCCUUUGGAUGGGCCCGCGUUGGAUUAGCUAGUUGGUAGGGUAAAAGCCUACCAAGGCGACGAUCCAUAGCUGGUCUGAGAGGAUGAUCAGCCACACUGGGACUGAGACACGGCCCAGACUCCUACGGGAGGCAGCAGUGGGGAAUAUUGGACAAUGGGCGAAAGCCUGAUCCAGCAAUGCCGCGUGAGUGAUGAAGGCCUUAGGGUUGUAAAGCUCUUUUACCCGGGAUGAUAAUGACAGUACCGGGAGAAUAAGCUCCGGCUAACUCCGUG